AGCCAGACUCCUACGGGAGGCAGCAGUGGGGGAUAUUGCACAAUGGGGGGAACCCUGAUGCAGCGACGCCGCGUGGGUGAAGGAGCGUUUCGGCGCGUAAAGCCCUAUCGGCAGGGAAGAAGGAGGACGGUACCUGACUAAGAAGCCCCGGCUAACUACGUGCCAGCAGCCGCGGUAAUACGUAGGGGGCAAGCGUUAUCCGGAUUUACUGGGUGUAAAGGGAGCGUAGACGGCAGUGCAAGUCCGGAGUGAAAGCCCGGGGCUCAACCCUGGGACUGCUCUGGAAACUGUAAAGCUGGAGUGCGGGAGGGGCAGGCGGAAUUCCUGGUGUAGCGGUGAAAUGCGUAGAUAUCAGGAGGAACACCGGCGGCGAAGGCGGCCUGCUGGACCGUAACUGACGUUGAGGCUCGAAAGCGUGGGGAGCAAACAGGAUUAGAUACCCGAGUA
rnacentral:rRNA from 1 species